rnacentral:lncRNA from 1 species
GUCCAGCUGAGGCCCUCUUGGACAACACUUCCUCUCCUGCCCAUGGUGGGAGGUUGGGAAGGACAUUCCCCCAUUUCCAUUUGCUCUGCCAUUCAAAACCUUGUGAGGGCCCUCAGGGAAGAAUCCCUUUGCAGGUCAUAAACUGACCUGCAGAAUUAUGGGAUCUUAACUGUGGGGAGAGACCUAGAAGACCGGCUAGUGACCAGAUUCUCAUCUAACUCCUUUUUUUUUGCAGAUGAGGAAACUGAGGCCCCACGUGGUGAAGACAAUUUUUACCCGAAUCCACCCACAACAAGAGACCAUUUGGAUAAUGUACAUUAUGGGAAGAGAACAGAGUCUCAGUGAAGAUCAUGUUUCCCCAGCAACACAGGUGCCAGGAGUAGCUGGCUCUGGUCCCAGCCCAGACUCAGAAAUCCUGAGCCACCAGACCAUUUCUAGAUUAACAAUGACCCACUGGAAACCAGUGUCAGCAUAACAACAGUUACGAGAGCUAAACCUACAAAAUAGGUUUUCUUUGAUGGCAGUUCUGCUCUAAAGAUGGAUAAGGAAGGAGGUUCCAAGAUGGCCGAAUAGGAACAGCUCCAGUCUACAGCUCCCAGCAUGAGCAACGCAGAAGACAGGGGAUUUCUGCAUUUCCAAUUGAGAACACAGGAGCUAUGUGGAGAGUUGAUGGAGGGACAUUCCAGGCAGAGAGAACAGCAAACACAAAGGCCUUGAAGGGAGCGGUGGCUUACAUCUGCAAUCCCACCACUUUGGGAGGCUGAGGCAGGUGGAUUGCUUGAUCUCAGGAGUUCGAGACCAGCCUGGGCAAUGUGGUGAAACCCAGUCUCUACCAAAAAAUACAAAAAUUAGCCGGGCAUGGUGAGCAUGCCUCUGGUCCCAGCUACCCAGGAGGCUGAGGUGGGAGAAUCACUUGAGCCUAGAAGGUCAAGGCUGCAGUGAGCCGUGAUUGAGCCACUGCAUUCCAGCCUGGGUGAUAGGGCUCAACACCACAUGGAAGCUGCCAAGGCUUGGGGCUCGCACCAUCUGAAGACAUGGUCUGAACUCUACGUUGGCCCUUUCAGCCAUGGCUGGAGCAGCUGGAACGCAGGGCAUCAAGUCUCUUGGCUGCACACAGCUCAGGGAAGCUGGACCUGGCCCAUGAAACCACUUUUUCUUCCUAUGCCUCCAGACCUGUGAUGGGAGGAGCUGCCAUGAAGACCUCUGACAUGCCCUAGAAACAUUUUCCCCAUUGUCUUAGGGAUUAACAUUCUGUGCCUUGUUGCUUAAGUAAAUUUCUGCCUCAUUGUCAGGCUGCAAA